rnacentral:rRNA from 1 species
UCCUACGGGGGGCAGCAGUGGGGAAUAUUGCGCAAUGGGCGAAAGCCUGACGCAGCAACGCCGCGUGGGGGAUGAAGGUUCUCGGAUUGUAAACCCCUUUCGACCGGAACGAAUCCCCUCCUGGUAAACAAUCAGGAGGGUCGACGGUACCGGGAGAAGAAGCCACGGCUAACUCUGUGCCAGCAGCCGCGGUAAGACAGAGGUGGCGAGCGUUGUUCGGAUUUAUUGGGCGUAAAGCGAACGCAGGUGGUUUGGUAAGUCAGAGGUGAAAUUCCGCAGCUUAACUGCGGCACUGCCUUUGAUACUGCCUUUCUAGAGUACAUGAGGGGGAAGCGGAAUUCCGAGUGUAGAGGUGAAAUUCGUAGAUAUUCGGAGGAACACCGGUGGCGAAGGCGGCUUCCUGGCAUGUAACUGACACUCAUGUUCGAAAGCGUGGGGAGCAAACAGGAUUAGAUACCCCAGUAGUCG